UGACAAUGGGGACGGCGGGUUUAUUUGGCAGAUAGAAAAUUCGCUGCAUUAGAGGUGGAGGGCAAAGGCGGAGGAAGAGGACGCGUUACCAUUCUCGUUAUUAUCGCGGAGGGCAGCAGAGACGGUGGAGGAUGGUUGGAGGGAAAAAAAAGAGGGUCAUAGUGCGGUUUUGGCGGGGUCGGAGGCGAGUAGGGCGAGGAGUGCGCGGGCAAGGGUGU
rnacentral:lncRNA from 1 species